rnacentral:snoRNA from 3 species
GCAUUGCAUUGAUGAAUUGUGAAUUUUCGCAUGUCAGACUUCAGAGAUACCUCUGGCAUCAAUGAGAAGUCAUUUCAUAUUACUGAGCAAUGA